UGCAGCUGCAGUUCUGACCAAGUAAUCCAUGUGACGCAGGUUUGGGCCUGGCCAGUACUUGGAUGCGAGACCAACCAGGUAAACUGGGUUGCUGCUGGAA
rnacentral:rRNA from 1 species